GAAAACCUGAGGGCGGAAAGAGACAUCAGUAUAGUUGGUAAACUCGUGAAUAGAGGAAAUGACUGAUCACCACAACAGAUGAGGUGGUGGUCCUCGUCCACUGAGGCUAAGAGGCCGAGUUUCACCCUCCAACUUGGUAAACCAGCAAAAGCAACAGUAGAGGCAGCGACAAGCCUAUCCUGUUCCAGAUCAAAGCUAUGAUGCCAUCAUGCCAUGAAACUAAAAGCCCUUCCACCUUCAAUUGAUGAUGAGGGGGGUCCUAGUCGAAAAGGUACCAAGGGUUGGAGCAUCUCGAACCAACAUACUAUGAAGCUAGAAAUAACAGGCUUCAGUCCCUCGGGGCAUAGGUCAGUGGUGCAAAGUAUAGGAGUGAGAUUAUUUCAUACCUUGUUGGCAGUCACAGUGUGGGGGAUCGAUUCCUAAAACAUGAAAUUGGACUUCUUGUAGACGCAUUGUACAAACAACUCUUGUUUCCUAACUUGUUGGGGCACAUUCCGUGAUUUAUCUCCCUCACAAAAAUCUAAGGGCGGGACAGUAAUGACACUCAAGGUUGGGGUUCAACUUUUUUUUUAUUUUUAUUAUUUUGAAAUAGCAGGCCUUACCCAAUCAAC
rnacentral:lncRNA from 1 species